AUGGCACUCACUUGUAACCGAGGAAAAAUUGGAAAUUGUACUAAUAUUAAAAUUCUACCUUUUUUUUCAUACCGGGCGUUAACCGAGGCAGGAGAAUUGCUGAGCAUUUCCGAAACGCAGAGUUACGUAUCUAGGAAAAUGAGGAUGAAGUGGAUAACACACAGCUUUUUACUCUCAUUGAUUUGGAAAGUAACAUAUGUCUGCCCGCUUGCUACUCGUAGUAGUAUUACAGCGGUGGUCACGGCACCAGGAGACACGGUGGUGGGCUCCCCUGAAAAACAAAAUAGUCGAGAUAAAAGAUCCGACUCCUAUGUACAACCGCAGCCCAUCAGGACAAACAGCGACCAAAAAAGAAGGCGCGAGUCCUUCACCGUCUACCAUGAAGGCCAAAAAGUAAGUAAAACGUCUCUAUUGCUUGGUAUUUCUAUCGGUUGUAAUCCGACAAGGAACAGUGGCAUUACAUUUUGGCAUUUUUAUUACACAUUGGCAACCACAAUCUCUGACUAUCCCAUAAAAGCACAUAUCUGCAUUGGGAAACCAAUGGCAUGUACGUUGUUUCUAAAAUGGGCCAGAAAUAGUGGUUCCUUAUUGCAAAAUGCAAUCCAGUGGAGGUUAGGUAUCGUAGAGCGCCAGAGAGUGCUGUAAGGAUACUUAUAUGUAUGUCCAACGAUUCUAUAAGCACAGACAACUAAAGAAGUUUCCCAUUUUCUUCUCUCCGUGCAAUUUUGAAAUUAAUUUAUUUUAAAGUUUAAUGAAGUGCCUGAGAAAAAGAUUAAAUUGUAAUUUGAAAUGCGGGUUUACACAACUACUUUAUUUAAAUGUUUAAUUCUUGAUUCACUUAUACUUUUAAAAUUACAUCUCAUAAGGCUCAUAAUUUUUUUAUAAUUUUUAUAUUAUGAUGACUGCCGUACAAUAAUGUUCUUAUUGACUCGCCACCUUCAUCCGCAGUUUAGCUCAUCCGCAGUCGAUUGAAGCUUUUUUUAUUUUAAUUUUUUUCUAUCUUUACAAGCAACUAUGGCCGAAUGGUAGUUUCCGCACAAAGAGAAAAAAUCACUGCACUUUAAACAAUUGCCGUUGAGUAGUUUUCCGUCUAAAAAAUAAAUUAUGUCAGGAAGUCUGCAACGUCGCAAAUCGAGAUGUAUGGUUGUGAACUUACAUCUAGAGGACCUCUAUUGAGAGAGUAUGGCCACUGGUGUUACCACCUCUGAUUGGCUCAGCCAUCUUAGGCUGAAUGGAGCCCUUAGGACCCAAAAAUGGCGGACGCCAUAAAUUAAUGUGAUGCAAAAUGACUCAAAAUGUAGUUUUCUUUGCUUAUCGUAACGAGAAAUUUACCCAAAUGCACUACUGCGACUUCUUUACAUAUUUUUAAGGCUAAUCAUGUGCAAUUUUUGAGAAAAAUUAUCUUGGAUAUAGUAAGGUUGGCAGCAAGUGCGGUUGGUGAUAACCGUCAAAAGUUGGCAAUGACGCCCCUCCCAUCCACAAAAACCAAAACAAAGCACCGCCAUUUUUGGGUCCUAAGCCUCUCCAUGGGGCCCAGUGGCCAUACUCUCUCAAUAUAGGUACUCUACUUACACCGUCAGUAUAUCAUAAUGCUUAAAGUUGCGCAGUGGCGUGGCGUGUUUUGCGAUCUAUCGAUAUUUCCCCCAUUUGAAGCUGUGGUAAAUAAUCGAUUAUUAAGGUGUUUGCUGCGAACACCCUGUUUAUCGAUCCUUUUCCAUAAGUUUAAAUGGCAUAACGAUCGAUAUAUCGCAAUUCACGCCACGCCACUGAAGUUGCGCCUUGUUUAGUGGUUCACUCACAUUACUGCGUCCAAUUAAUAUCGAACUUUGUUUCUUUGGAAAAAGGUAACCUCCAAAAGGAGUCACCCGGUCGACACUGGAUCGGGGUCGGGAGGAAAUUGGGGUCAGCCUUCACUAAGCAAGUCGUACGGGUUCUAUCUAAUGCGAAAUCUAAGUUGAUACAGAAAA
rnacentral:lncRNA from 1 species